rnacentral:lncRNA from 1 species
GGGUAGUAGAACAAUGGGAUUAUGCUGUCACAAAAAACAAAGAAAAAACAUAAUUUCUUAAAUCAUGGUCUGUCACUGAAUCUGGUUAUAAAACCUUAUCUUGCACUAGAAGGAUCUGUAGCUUUUCCAGCUGAGAAUGGGGUUCAGGAUACCGAAUCAACACUAGAAAAGAGAGAAACUGGGGAUGAAGAAAACUCAGCUAAAUUUCCUAUAGGAAGGAGAGAUUUUGACAUAUUCUCAGACCACUUCUACCAAAACAUAAAUCUGUGAUUGUGAUCUCUGAAAGUCAGUCCUUUUAUCUACUCAAAAGAAGACACUAAGGUUUUCAGAAAUUAAAUUGCUUUUUGGAAAAGGUGGGAGAUUCUGGGAACAUAGAAACUUGAAUCCAGUUUUCUUCAACUCCACGUCAAGACAGUUGCAUUGUGUGAGAAAAUAGCUACGGCCAUUUGUGAAGUGUGAAACUGUCAGGAAGACAGAUGAAAUGAUUUGCCUGAGGCCGUAUCAUCAAACAAGAAAUUCAUAUUCACCUUUCUGGAAUUCUUAGGAUAAUGAUUACAUGUGUUCAAUUGUUAAAAAUUGGCAGAUAAAAUUUUAUGUAUUUACCACGUACAACAUGAAAUUUUGAAAC